CUACGGGGCGCUGCAGUGGGGAAUAUUGGACAAUGGGGGAAACCCUGAUCCAGCAAUGCCGCGUGUGUGAAGAAGGCCUGCGGGUUGUAAAGCACUUUCGGUUGGGAGGACUGCUUCUAGCACUAAUAUUGUUGGAAGUUGACGUUACCUUCAGAAGAAGCACCGGCUAACUCCGUGCCAGCAGCUGCGGUAAUACGGAGGUGCAAGCGUUAAUCGGAAUUACUGGGCGUAAAGCGCGCGUAGGCGGCUAGAUCAGUCGGGUGUGAAAGCCCCGGGCUUAACCUGGGAACUGCAUCCGAUACUGUCUAGCUUGAGUACAGGAGAGGAGAGUGGAAUUCCACAUGUAGCGGUGAAAUGCGUAGAUAUGUGGAGGAACACCAAUGGCGAAGGCAGCUCUCUGGCCUGAUACUGACGCUGAGGUGCGAAAGCGUGGGGAGCAAACAGGAUUAGAUACCCGGGUAGUC
rnacentral:rRNA from 1 species